CCUACGGGCGGCAGCAGUGGGGAAUAUUGGGCAAUGGGCGCAAGCCUGACCCAGCAACGCCGCGUGAAGGAAGAAGUCUUUCGGGUCGUAAACCUCUUUUAAGAGGGAAGAGAAGAAGACGGUACCUCUUGAAUAAGCCACGGCUAACUACGUGCCAGCAGCCGCGGUAAUACGUAGGUGGCAAGCGUUGCCCGGAUUUACGGGGUGUAAAGGGCGUGCAGCCGGGAAGACAAGUCAGAUGUGAAAUCCCGGGGCUCAACCGCGGAACUGCUUGUGAAACUGUUUUUCUUGAGUACCGGAGAGGUCAUCGGAAUUCCUUGUGUAGCGGUGAAAUGCGUAGAUAUAAGGAAGAACACCAGUGGCGAAGGCGGAUGACUGGACGGCAACUGACGGUGAGGCGCGAAAGCGUGGGGAGCAAACAGGAUUAGAUACCCCAGUAGUC
rnacentral:rRNA from 1 species